GCCAAUAGGGUGAAGGCAUGUCUACCGUAUCAAAUGGCCCUCAUAUUGAUAUUCAGAGAGUUCAGUGUAGCCCUUAAGGGGGAGACCAUUCAAGUUUUGAUGCACUUGGAUACCUAUAACGAAUGGUCCUUCAUCAUAUGGGGUACCAUAAGUUGGAUGGUAGAUGGGUUUAUAUAGAUAAAAUAUAGGCAGGAUAGAGUAAGAGAAAAAGAUGUGGUUGGGCCUAGUAGAGCACAACCAGUUUCAGAGCCUCUACCACU
rnacentral:lncRNA from 1 species